AUUGAACGCUGGCGGCAGGCCUAACACAUGCAAGUCGAGCGAGCGGCGGACGGGUGAGUAAUGUCUGGGAAACUGCCUGAUGGGGGGGGGUAACUACUGGAAACGGUAGCUAUUACCCCAUACCCUCAGGUGUGCCCAGGUGGGAUUAGCUAGUAGGUGGGGUAACGGCUCACCUAGGCGACGAUCCCUAGCUGGUCUGAGAGGAUGACCAGCCACACUGGAACUGAGACACGGUCCAGACUCCUACGGGAGGCAGCAGUGGGGAAUAUUGCACAAUGGGCGCAAGCCUGAUGCAGCCAUGCCGCGUGUGUGAAGAAGGCCUUCGGGUUGUAAAGCACUUUCAGCGGGGAGGCGUUACCCGCAGAAGAAGCACCGGCUAACUCCGUGCCAGCCGCCGCGGUAAUUC
rnacentral:rRNA from 1 species